rnacentral:rRNA from 1 species
AGCGAACGCUGGCGGCAGGCCUAACACAUGCAAGUCGAACGAUCCUUCGGGAUAGUGGCGGACGGGUGAGUAACACGUGGGAACGUGCCCUUUGGUUCGGAACAACUCAGGGAAACUUGAGCUAAUACCGGAUGUGCCCUUCGGGGGAAAGAUUUAUCGCCAUUGGAGCGGCCCGCGUUGGAUUAGGUAGUUGGUGGGGUAAUGGCCCACCAAGCCUACGAUCCAUAGCUGGUCUGAGAGGAUGAUCAGCCACACUGGGACUGAGACACGGCCCAGACUCCUACGGGAGGCAGCAGUGGGGAAUCUUGCGCAAUGGGCGAAAGCCUGACGCAGCCAUGCCGCGUGAAUGAUGAAGGUCUUAGGAUUGUAAAGUUCUUUUAGUCGUGAAGAUGAUGACAGUAGCGACAGAAAAAGCACCGGCUAACUUCGUGCCAGCCGCCGCAGUAAUAC